rnacentral:rRNA from 1 species
AGAGAGAGACAUGCGCGCAUAUCAAUAAGCGGAGGAAAAGAAACUAACAAGGAUUCCCCUAGUAACGGCGAGGUGAAGCGGGAAGAGCUCAAAUUUGAAAUCUUAAAGGGUUUCCCUUUACGAAUUGUAGUUUAAAGAAGUGUUUUCUGUUGAGGUUUUGGUAAAAGUUCUUUGGAAUAGGACAUCAUAGAGGGUGAGAAUCCCGUAUUUGACCUUUACUUUCAACUUUGUGAUACACUUUCAAAGAGUCGGAUUGUUUGGGAAUGCAGUCCAAAAUGGGUGGUGAAGUUUCAUCUAAAGCUAAAUAUUGGCGAGAGACCGAUAGCGAACAAGUACCGUGAGGGAAAGAUGAAAAGAACUUUGAAAAGAGAGUUAAACAGUACGUGAAAUUGUCAAAAGGGAAGCGUUUGACACCAGUGUUGUUUUUCUGAAAAUCAAUUAAAGAACUGUUUAUGCUAAGUUGUUUAGACUUUAUCAGCUAUCUGUUUAGUUUUGAGCUUUUCUUUAAUGCACUUUUCAGCUAACAAGUCAACAUCAAUUUCUUUUGCUGUAAAAAAGCUUGAGGAAGGUGGCUUGAGAUUCGUCUUAAGUGUUUAUAGCCUCUUGCCUAUGCAGUCGGAGAGAUUGAGGUCUGCAGCGUAGAUCCUUCGGGGCUAAAUGCAUUUGUGCUAAGUUAUAGCAUUUUAUAGACAACUUGUUGACUAUGAUUUGUCUUGUAGCUUACUCGCUUAUGUUAUUUUACCUACGCUUAGGAUGUUGAGCGCAUGUCUCUCUCU